AAUUGACGGGGACCCGCACAAGCGGUGGAUGAUGUGGAUUAAUUCGAUGCAACGCGAAAACCUUACCUACCCUUGACAUGUCCGGAAUCCCGAAGAGAUUUGGGAGUGCUCGCAAGAGAACCGGAACACAGGUGCUGCAUGGCUGUCGUCAGCUCGUGUCGUGAGAUGUUGGGUUAAGUCCCGCAACGAGCGCAACCCUUGUCAUUAGUUGCCAUCAUUUGGUUGGGCACUCUAAUGAGACUGCCGGUGACAAACCGGAGGAAGGUGGGGAUGACGUCAAGUCCUCAUGGCCCUUAUGGGUGGGGCUUCACACGUCAUACAAUGGUCGGUACAGAGGGUUGCCAACCCGCGAGGGGGAGCUAAUCCCACAAAGCCGAUCGUAGUCCGGAUCGCAGUCUGCAACUCGACUGCGUGAAGUCGGAAUCGCUAGUAAUCGUGGAUCAGCAUGUCACGGUGAAUACGUUCCCGGGUCUU
rnacentral:rRNA from 1 species